GAUGAACGCUGGCGGCGUGCUUAACACAUGCAAGUCGAACGAGAAAUGGAGACGGAAACCUUCGGGCGGAAGACUUUAUUUCGAGUGGCGGACGGGUGAGUAACGCGUGGGUAACCUGCCUCAUACAGGGGGAUAACAGUUGGAAACGACUGUUAAUACCGCAUAAGACCACAGCACCGCAUGGUGCGGGGGUAAAAACUCCGGUGGUAUGAGAUGGACCUGCGUUCGAUUAGCCAGUUGGCGGGGUAACGGCCCACCAAAGCGACGAUCGAUAGCCGAUCUGAGAGGAUGACCGGCCACAUUGGGACUGAGACACGGCCCAAACUCCUACGGGAGGCAGCAGUGGGGAAUAUUGCACAAUGGGGGAAACCCUGAUGCAGCGACGCCGCGUGAGUGAAGAAGUAUUUCGGUAUGUAAAGCUCUAUCAGCAGGGAAGAAAAUGACGGUACCUGAGGAAGAAGCCCCGGCUAACUACGUG
rnacentral:rRNA from 1 species